rnacentral:misc_RNA from 1 species
UUUUUUCAUUAAUUUUGUAUUGUCAUUGGGGAGAAUAAACCCACCAACUCCAAAUUAUUGAAAUCAAUAUCAGGUAACAUAUGAAAUGUUGCAUGUUUUUGUUAAAUGAGGGAAUCCGAAGAUUCCACAAAUUUGAUUGUUUGUCCGUGGGACGCAAAAGUCGGAUUUGACCUAUUACAGUCGCAUCCUUCUCUUGUUUUUUUAAUAGUAAACAAUGAAUUGAAAUUAACCCGAAAGUUUAUUCCAAUUACAUUGAAUACUAAGAAAAAGAGGUGUGGUAAUGAUCCUUCCGCAGGUUCACCUACGGAAA